GCUUGAGCUCUGCUGUCUAGUGGGAGUGUAAAUUGUGUGUAUAGUGUAAAAUAGAGCACGGUACCAUAACCACUUACAGGUACCAUAACCACUGACAUGUACCAUUACCACUGAAUGGUACCAUAACCACUGACAUGUACCAUAACCACUUACAUGUACCAUAACUACUGAUAUUACGUGAAAAAUACUAAAAUUACUGUUUAACCUUGCAUGUGUACUAACUGAUAUUGUAACUUUAAAACCAUAAUUGUCUAAACUGUACAAUAGUUACUAACCAUACCAUAACAACUGACUGUAGAGACGAAAUUGUGAUGUGAUCGGUUAGUUUAUGUGGAUUAAUAGUGUGGAUAAUUG